ACGCGAGCUGGGUUCAGAACGUCGUGAGACAGUUCGGUCCCUAUCCGUCGCAGGCGUAGGAAAUUUGAGAAGACCUGGCCUUAGUACGAGAGGACCGGGAUGGACGUACCUCUGGUGUACCAGUUGUUCUGCCAAGGGCAUGGCUGGGUAGCUAUGUACGGAAUGGAUAAGCGCUGAAAGCAUCUAAGCGCGAAGCCAACUUCAA
rnacentral:rRNA from 1 species